rnacentral:lncRNA from 1 species
UCUCAAUUCAUACUUCAUUUCUAUUCAAAUUUUGUCCAAACUCAUACUUAACUAUUAAAUUUCCAGCAUAUUUUCCUAGUUUCGAAAUUUCAUCAAUUUAGUCCCUACAACAUAAAACUUAUGAAUUACUUUACAAUUCAAUCCUUAUUUCAUUUCUAACUUGAAUUCCUAUCAAUCUAGCCCCUAAUUCAUCUUUUUAUUCAACAUGAACAAUAUUUAUAAAUCUAAUAACUUUCAAAAUAGUCACUUAAUUUCAUCAAAACCUUGUCCCAAAG